rnacentral:rRNA from 1 species
GAUGAACGCUGGCGGCGUGCCUAAUACAUGCAAGUCGAGCGAACAGACGAGGAGCUUGCUCCUCUGACGUUAGCGGCGGACGGGUGAGUAACACGUGGAUAACCUACCUAUAAGACUGGGAUAACUUCGCGAAACCGGAGCUAAUACCGGAUAAUAUAUUGAACCGCAUGGUUCAAUAGUGAAAGACGGUUUUGCUGUCACUUAUAGAUGGAUCCGCGCCGCAUUAGCUAGUUGGUAAGGUAACGGCUUACCAAGGCGACGAUGCGUAGCCGACCUGAGAGGGUGAUCGGCCACACUGGAACUGAGACACGGUCCAGACUCCUACGGGAGGCAGCAGUAGGGAAUCUUCCGCAAUGGGCGAAAGCCUGACGGAGCAACGCCGCGUGAGUGAUGAAGGUCUUCGGAUCGUAAAACUCUGUUAUUAGGGAAGAACAAAUGUGUAAGUAACUAUGCACGUCUUGACGGUACCUAAUCAGAAAGCCACGGCUAACCACGUG